AAUAGUCUGUAGUCAUCCGUUUCCGCCACCGCAUCGCAUCCAUCUAUGAGAAGACGAACGGCGCCGGGAGGUCGGAAGCUAAAUCGACUCGUUAUCCAUCGCCACACUCGUGACGCUUGGAUUUUUUCUUCUCAAUUAAUUUUUUACCGAGAGAAUGCCGUCGGCAUGCUCGCCCCUCCUCCCUGCCCUUUUUAAGCACCACCUCCUCCUCUCUCCUUUGGUGGAGUCCUGCCGUCCUUCUCUUCUUCCUCUUCCUCCUCCAUUCCGUCUUCCUUCCACUGUGCUCUGAGAAAAGAGCUAUAGCAAUAGCAAAGGGGCUGGAGUUAGACGGGGAGCCAAGCCCUUCCCCUCAGAAGAGCGUUGGCCACUUUCUUCUCAAGUUCUUUGGUUCCGCAUUCCUCCUGGCUUUCUCCUACCGCCUCCUCUUCUCGGGUGCCAUCGGUUUCUUCGUCUUCUCCGACUCCCCUGCCUCGGAGAUACCAGCAGCUAAAGGUGGGAAUUUGAGGAGAGAAUUGCAGGAUAGUUCAAGCAAUGGAGUGAUCCUAUAGGCUUUCCAUGAUCUCUAGGGUAUUAUUCUAAGGUUCAUGUGGUCGUGUCAUAUAUUCGAUCUGAGUGUUGGAUUCGGGUACGAUAUUUCAUUAACGUAAAACUAAAAUAGAAGGAACUGUCACAAGGAUUCAGCUCCUCUUGGAGCAACCGGAAAAAACAAAUGGAACUGAAACUAGAAAGCAGAGCAGAUGGAAUGAAAAGAAACAUUAAGAUGGGAUGUUCAACAUCCAAAUACUGGAGUAGGAAAUCAAAACUGCUAAGAAUCAGAACGGAGGGAAAGCAAACAUCAAAGAGAUGUCAAGCAGCCGGUCUUUACUCUCCGGAGGCAUGAAAAAGUCAGGACUGGUUUAUCAAAAUAGAAACUGAAACUAGCCCAGGUUCACUGACAACUCUACCCAUCAAAGGAUGAGUGACAAGUCUGCUAAAAACUGCCAUUGUGAAGCAGACUUCUAUCAAAAAGACCUCAUGCAGAAAGGCUAUUGGCGGUGACUAGAAAGGUUAAACAUCAGCUGCGUACUUUACGCGUGUGUGUGUGUGAAAUUUUUAUGUUAUGAAAGCAUGUCCCUUGAGGUCAAUAAAAUCCCCCAGAAGUGUGUGUGUGUGUGU